AUGGUCUCAUGGUGGGUGAGAUGGAACCCUGCGUUGGGUUCCGUGCUGACGGCAGGGAGCCUGCUUGGGAUUCUCAAUCUCUCUCUCUCUCUCUCUCUCUCUCUCUCUCUCUCUCUCUCUCUCAAAAUAAAUAAGCUGAGAGCUUAUUUAUUACUGAGCUGCCCCAAAGCAAGGACAGCACCAGGAGCCACCCCAGGCCCUGGCCACGAUCCUGUCUAUCCACUAACUAGCUUGGGAAAGCCCUGGACCCAUCCUACCAACAAGAAGCCAUUGGCCUUCCAUCCAAGUCACCCAGACAACAGAAAGGACUGUCCUGCUUUCCCAUACCCACUCGGGGUGGCCUGAUGCCUUGUCGUGACUCUGGCUGGCUUCCGUUGGAUAGAAACAGAGGCAAGGGGGGACUGUACAGUAUGACUAGGGCUGGAACUGUGUCCCCCUAAUAAUAAUAUGCUGAACACUCACGAUGUGCUGGGCACCAUUGGAGACAACGUGAUUGACUCUCAUCAAUUUCAACAAUAUUGUGAAGUUAGUAAUAUCGGGAGCGGAAGACCAGAGAGGUUAGGGAAUUUGGCCAACAUGACACGGACGGUAAUUGGCAGAGUCCACAUUUAAAAUCAGGUCUGACUGUUCCCAAAACCCAAGCUGGGGCAGCCGUGCCAGGUAGGCUCCCGGAAGGAUGGCCCAUGUGUUGAACACCAGUGGAGGGGGUUGGGGAAAGAACGGGAAGACAGGAGUGAGGAACGAGCUCAGAACAGGUGUGAGAAAGUAUGGUCUGCCAUCUCUGGUCAUUUCCCUGGGAGGGUUGGGUGCUGGGGAUCUCUGGGGCUCCUUCCCCUCUGGCACCCUGUGAGCCAGACCCUAACUACCAGGGCCCUAGGGAGGAGAGAGAGCAAGCCCUCUCCCCAGACUCCAGAAAUUUGCCUUCUUUCCUCUGCCCCAUUGUGCUCCCUGGGGGUGUUGAUUACUUUUCCUACCCUGAGCUAUGGAAACUUUGUAGCUAAUGACUUCCUGUGCUAAUUCUCUCAGAGGUGUGUCCCAGAGGGUGCCUGGAGAGCAAUGGUGGGCUUGCAGAGAGCUGGGGUGGGGGGGACUUUCUUACAUCUCAAUAUCGCAAGUACUUUCCAGCACUUAACGUGCCCACCCAUCAAGCAGGUCUGUAGCCCUAAGUGCUGGCUGCCCGGCUGGCUUCAGGGCUAUGGGGAUGGGCUGCUGGACCCCUGUGGCCUCAGUCAGCCUCUCUAGAGCACAGGUGCUCUUUUGGGACCCCUGUAGCCAGGAUAAGAGGAGAGAAGUAGAGAAACCCAGGGGCACCAGUGUGGUCCGUGGGCUCAGCCGUGGGGUUGCACGGGUGGGGUAAGCACACAGCGCUGGGUGCCACUCACAACUGGACUCCAAGGCUGUGUUCUAAUUCACCGGUUUCCUCACGGAUUCUGCAAAUGCUUCUGGAAGCUUCCUCUGAUGUCAGCCUUGUGUGGGUCCAACUGGACACCAUCCUGCCCUCCCAAUUGCUUCGGUCUAGCAGGAAUGAUAAAACAUGUGCACACUAAAAUAAAAUAACAAAGCAUGAAAAUUACCCA
rnacentral:lncRNA from 1 species